GCUUAACGCGAAGAACCUUACCAGGGCUUGACAUCCCGAGAAUUACUCCGAAAGGAGUGAGUGCUUUAUUGAACUCGGUGACAGAUCUUGCAUGGCCGUCGUCAGCUCGCGUCGUGAGAUGUUUGGUUAAGUCCAUCAACGAGCGCAACCCUUGUUAGUAGUUGUAUUUUUCUACUAAGACUGCCCCGGCAACGGGGAGGAAGGAGGGGAUGAUGUCAGGUCAGUAUUAGUCUUACGUCCUGGGCUAGAAACGCAAUACAAUGGCCGGUACAAUGUGCAGCGAAGCCGCGAGGUGAAGCAAAUCACAUCAAAACCGGUCCCAGUUCGGAUAAGAGGCUGAAACUCGCCUCUUUGAAGUCGGAAUCGCUAGUAAUCGCAGAUCAGCAAGCUGCGGUGAAUACAUUCCC
rnacentral:rRNA from 1 species